UGGACCAGUAAUGAUGCCUGGUGGCGUAUGAGUCAUGGAUGAUGACUACUACGUAUCCAGAACUCUGAGGUCCAU